UGGUUCCUCUUCCUGUCUGCCUGUGUAUCUCCACUCCCAACCCAGGCAUCCCCAGAGAAACCUGGGGCAGGGAAGGGAGGAACACAGAAUCUGGAAGAAUGUAAAUCUGACCUUUUCUUUUACAGGCUUAAAAUCUGUAAAUGGCUCCUCUCCAACCCCUCAAUCCAAGCACUUUAAGUUGACCAGCAGGUCCUUAGUUCUGGCCCCUGCCUUCUUCUCCAACUUCUCCUGCCCUCCUGAGCCACCUCACCUCCUCCUCCACCUCCAGACCCUGGCACAUACUCCUCCUCAGCCUGCAAGGCUGACCCCUUCCUCAGUAGCCUAUCCCUCAUUUGCCCUUUGAAACUCAGCUCUGGCACCACCCCUUCCAGAAAGCCUCUAGACUUUGGAGAGGACAGCGCCUUUAGGUCUCCUGCCAGAAUUUCCGGCUCAAGGCAGGGCCGAACACAAGAUGUGGUCAUUGUUUACCUGUCUGCCUUUCCCACAGAGACUGUGUGUCAUUCUUGGGGUCCAGUACCCUGUGCCGGUCUGGCACAUGGGAGGGGCUCAGGAAAUGUUUGUAGAAUGAGUUAAUCAACCAGUGACAGGAUUCUGGUACCCAGUCGGCCACCACAUCUCCUCCAACUUCCUUAACUCCAGACAUCUUUUCCUGGGCUAGGCCUUAACAGAAGGAACUCCUCACCCUUCACUGUGGGGUCAAGUCAGGGGUGGAGACAAUGCGGGCCCCUCCCCCGCUGAUUCAGCGCCUCUCCUAAUGAGGUGAGGCCUCAGGUUUAGGAAGGGUUGCCACACCCACUGGUAGGGGGAGGGUCUGUGAUUCUGUAACUGGAGGAUAGGUAGGGGGCUUCGGUUGUAGACUGAGUAGGGAGCUGACCUAAGCCGGUAGAUUCAAGUACUGCCCGAGAGAUCUCUGCCUUUCCGCCCCACACCCCAGUCACCCCGCGCCAGGCUCUCGGCGCGUCAGAUCCCGGCCCUGCGUUCUUCAUCUCCUGCCCCGCCACGCCCCCAACUGCAGAUCCAACUCGGGUCUCUCCGAAAGCAGCAAGGAGCCUCGGGGUGGGCUCUAUGCCCCGUGAUGCUCCGCGUCUGGGAACGGAUGAAGGGGUGCCAGCAACCCCCGCCGUCCCCGCUGUCGAUCCGGGUUUACACGAGGCUCAUCCGGGAUUAGUCCCUGCGGUCGGCUAAUCCCAGCGGCUGGACCGACCCCGGGGUCCGGAGCGAGGCCCACACAGUACCGGCCUAGGGAGCUAGGGCGCGGGUCGAGCAAAAGCGCGCGACGCUGGGCGGGUGUGGGGGUGGGGAGGGGCGGAGGAGGGAGCAACGCCCCGGGAGGCGGGGCCAGGAACCGGCUGAUCCGGUCUCUGUUUUCCGACCUCUCCGGAGCGGGUGUUUACCCGGGAGCCGGACGGAGGAGGCCGGGGCCGGUCGAGCCCGGAAGGGGGGAGGGGAGCGCAGUCGGAGACCGAGGCUGAGACCUUUUCGGUUCCUUUCCCCUAAAUCGACUUCCAACCCUCGUUCCUGAGCGUGGGAGAACGCGGCAGACAGACAGAUGUCUCCCGCCCCUUAUCCUAUCCAGUUCCGCAAUUCACACUCGUUGCCAAAGAGUGGGGAGCGGGAAUGGAUACACCCGGGAACGACUGCACGUCCUGCGGGCGCCCGGGGAAGAAGGCAGCGCAGCACAAAACCUCUCCUGCGGUCACCUCCCACCCCAUCCUGCACCUGAGUUCUUGCGGGGAGGGGGUGCCCACAGCAGGUCGGGCCCAGAGGAUCCGGCAGGGGUCACUUUGAGGUGUACGGACUAGGAGUCUAUCCUCAGAACGCGUCAGCUCGACCCCAUCCCCGAUUAAUACCAGUGCGGGUCUCAGUCUCUUGUCCCUCGCGUCCCCCAGCCCUCUCCAAGGCCUCCAGAUUUAGCUCCCACUCUCCACGGGACGCAGGCCCGAGGACCCGGAAGAAGCUGAGUGGGGUCCGGUUUUCACACUUUUAUUGUAAAGCUCGGGAAUAAUUACACGGGUCUUUCAUUGACAGCUCAGCAAACAAACCGGAAACGAACCGAACCGGAGGGGGUAGGGGCGGUGCCUGCGCAUGCUCGCGGCGGGGUGGGGGGGGGUGGGGGUGGGGGUGGGGGGGUCAGAGAAAGAGAAAGACAGAAAGAGACAGAAAUCAUUACAAAUCAACGGGAUUGUGCUCGCAGCGCCAGGGAUGGGGUGGGGUGGGGCGGGGCGGGGGCCCUUCCCGGGAGGAGCGAGGCAGUGGGAAGUGGCACGAACCAAGAGAAACACGACCCCAAUGUGGGCACCCGACGCGCCCAAAACCCCCCACCCCGACCCCCACCCCCCUACACACGAGAGAGACACGGCCCCCCUCCCCACUAGAUAACCCGAGGAGACACAGUCUCCCCUCCCCAUGGGCAGACACACCCGCCCGAAACCCCAUGGGCGGGACACAGUCCCCCCUCCCAGAGAAGUCCCCAGUGGAGACGCCCCUUAAGAGACUUUCUCAUGGCCAACACAAGCCCUCCCAACACCCGGAGACAGCCCCGACCCAGGGAAGAAAUGGCUCCAGAGGCCCUACCCUCGGGAGAGAGAGGUAUCCCAGGGGGAGAGAUAGGGCCUAGAGAGACCCCAGAGGUGAGGGAUGCCCAGAGAACUUCCCCCCACCCCGGAAUGUGAAACAUGCUUCAAGGACCCUAGGAGAGAAAUAUGUCCCCAUAUACCCUCCCCCUACGGAGAGACAUGCCCUGAAGUAGGGGGAUGGGGACCGACUAGGUCCCCUCUGGGAAGACACAGACUGGGUCAGGCUGGGUUUGAGGGGGGCUCUCCUCUGGCCAAAUGUCGCCUAUUGGUACAUAAAACUGUACGCGACACAGGCAUUGGGGAGGGGCUUCACAGACCUAGGACCCACAGGGAUAGUCCCCAGUGCUGUCGCCAACCCCUGCCCACCUUUGGUUUCAUCUCUCCAGUGCCCAGUUGGUGACAGACUCAGUGCCCUGGCCCCAACCAGGGGGCUGGGGGCUCUGUCUUUGCCUGUGGGAAGGGCUUCUCAGCUCUCCCAGCCAUCUGGGCCACCCUCUUUCUUCUGGCUUCUCCAUUGUGCAAAAUGCUCCUCUGCUCUUCUGCUCAGUGCUCAGGGGUCUCUAAGACCAGGGCAAGGUACCCAGGCCACUAGGGGCUUCCAGUGGGAGUCCACUGACCCCAGGAAUGCCGCCUGUCUGGACCACCUUCUCCACCAAGCAAAUGGGCCUCAUACAAUCUUCUUGCCCGAAUCCUGACCUCCAGGACCCAGGACAAUCCUUGAGGCCACUGUUCCACCAGCUGGGCACCCAAUACUACCAACUCCAAGACUAUUGCACCUGCCCCAUUUGUGCAGGGGAAAGGGGCUGUCUCUUUAACAAGCCCCAAGCCCAUCUCCUGGGCCUCCCCAAGGGAAAGGAGCCUUUGGCCAACCCCUAGACCUGGCUGCUGCCACCCCAUCCCAUUCUACCCCUUCCCCUCUGUAGAAGGGCUUCGUAUGCCAGGGCUACCAGCCUAACAAUGCUCUCCUUCCUAGCACUGUCACCCCAAGCCAAGUUGGGGGUAAGGGGCAGAUAAAUAGGGUGAUUCUUCAGGCCCCUGGCUUUUCCGGGGUGGGGGUGGGGUCUCUGGGGUACAAGAGUCAAGACCCCAGCAGCACAGCUCCCAAAGGCACCAGACGACCCCGCAGCCUGUACCCACCGCUCGCAAUCUUGGACCACCUCCCCAAGCUUAGACUAAGUCAAGCAAGGGCCAUACCCUGAGUCUCCAGCCUCCCAGCCUGGGCCCCUAGGGAGCUGGAGAGGUAUGGGCCAAGGCAGUGGGGGUUUCUGGAAGGAAGAGGGGCUGAGGCUUUGAGAUGGCCACAGUGGGAGACGGGGGCUCUGCAGGACGCCCCUUACACCCUGGCCCCCUGAGGUGAAGAAGAGAACUUCACCUCAUCAUGGCUGACUGGGCUUCUCUGCCCCCCAACCUCCCUACCCCCUCCCCCAUGGGACCCCUGACCCUGACAAAGGGAAGCCCAACUGGAAGAAGGGGGCCUGGAGCCCAGGGUGCCCUGAGGCAGCCCUCCCACCCCCUGAGAUCAAGGCAAUGGUGGUUUUACAGGCUGACGGGUCAGUCAUGGCAGGGGCUGGGGGUUGAGAGGGCAGGGAGGGGGCAGGAUGCAGGCCCCCUAUAUCGGGAGCAGCACCCAGCCACCCCCUGAGCAAACCUUCCUGCUCCCAACUCACCCAACCAGGCCAGAGGCACAGUCAUCCCACCCCUGUCCAGCUGCCCCCCACAGCCUCAGGGCCCCUCUGUGAUGCUCAUCUGGAUGUGGGAGGCCAGCCUGAGCGGGGAUCCCCCCAGGGCACAGCGCAACAGUUCCAAAAAAAUAGAGAUUUGUAUUUUUAAGAAAAAUUAAAUAAAAGCCCAGCUCUGCUGAUAGGCAAAUGUUACCCCCGUCCCCACCCCCACCCACCCGUUGUUUCCCUGGCCUGCACCCCCAUCCCACCAUGGCCCCAGGGGUAUUUACAACAUGGAACAAUAGAGGCCUGGGUUGGGGGGCACUGCGGCAGGGAGGAGGGGGCACAGGGCAGGUCCCCCCCCAGAGGGGUCCCCCAAGACAACACGACAUCAACAAGAAAAGUUGCAAAUCAGGCAGAAAUGGGGACGUCAUUCCAAGGUCCUUAUAUACAGACACUGCAUGACCAGCAGGGAAUGGGGGCCCAGAUGGGACUAGGCGUGGGCAUGUGGCAGGCAGGUGG
rnacentral:lncRNA from 1 species